rnacentral:sRNA from 1 species
AUAAUCUUUUACUAAAAAUAGAUAUAUAUGCGUUUUGAGCGGGAGAUUCAUCUUGGCCCAUCAGCCAUAACUAUAGUGACAUCGUGGAUAAUGUAGACCCUGCCCCAUAAUAAGCAAGGAAGAAUGCAUAGGUCUAAUUUAUCCUAAAGUAACUUUUAAGCAAAUGUUAAGCAUUAUGAUGAAAACGACGUCCAAAUCCUAAAGUAACAUCAAGGAGUUUUUGACUAACAAUGUCCAAUUCAAUGUUGAUUUUCGCUAAUGAUGACAGUAUCAACUAUCCAUCGAUCUCAAAAGUCCAAAUAAUUAUUCAAUUAACGUUAGAUUUUUAACAUAAUUACAUAUCUAUUUUAUAUAUGUGAUUAAAAUGCACUAAAAAAACUACAUAGAAAAAGGCUUGUAACGUCCUCUAUUUUUUUCAUUAAAA